rnacentral:rRNA from 1 species
GAUGAACGCUGGCGGCGUGCCUAAUACAUGCAAGUCGAGCGAACAGACGAGGAGCUUGCUCCUCUGACGUUAGCGGCGGACGGGUGAGUAACACGUGGAUAACCUACCUAUAAGACUGGGAUAACUUCGGGAAACCGGAGCUAAUACCGGAUAAUAUAUUGAACCGCAUGGUUCAAUAGUGAAAGACGGUUUUGCUGUCACUUAUAGAUGGAUCCGCGCCGCAUUAGCUAGUUGGUAAGGUAACGGCUUACCAAGGCAACGAUGCGUAGCCGACCUGAGAGAGUGAUCGGCCACACUGGAACUGAGACACGGUCCAGACUCCUAGAGGAAGCAGCAGUAGGGAAUCUUCCGCGAUGGGCGAAGGCCUGACAGAGCAACGCCGCGUGAGUGAUGAGGGUCUUCGGAUCGUAAAACUCUGUUAUUAGGGAAGAACAAAUGUGUAAGUAACUAUGCACGUCUUGACGGUACCUAAUCAGAAAGCCACGGCUAACUACGUG